rnacentral:lncRNA from 1 species
GAUACAGAGACUCGAAGUAGAAUGCCGAUAAAAUACAGAGUGAUCAGCUUCACUCCGAGUCAUGCCAAACUCCUGGAUAACUGUGCUGAACUUACCAAGCCGGGCUCGAGGAGACUGCUUUAGACCAUAAAGUGACCGGCGCAAGCGACAUACAAGGCCACGAGACUCCCCCUGAGCAACAAACCCAGGUGGUUGCUCCAUAGAAAUUUCAUCUUCAAGGUCACCGCGUAAAAAAACAUUCUUAAUGUCCAACUGAGAGAGAGGCUAAUGGCGAAUAGCAGCCACAGAUAGAAAAAUGCGGACUGAUGCUAUCUUAGCCAGGGGAGAGAAAGUGCCACUAUAAUCAAGCCCAAAAAUCUGAGUGUAUCCUUUUGCAACAAGACGAGCCUUAAGACGAUCAACCUGACCAUCCGGGCCGAUUUUGACUGCAUAAACCCAAUGACUACGAACAGUAGACUCACAUGAAGGAAGAGUAACAACCUCCCAAGUGCCACUCGCUUGUAAAGCAGACAUCUCCUCAAUCAUAGCUUGUCGCCAUCCUGAAUGAGAUAGUGCCUCACCUGUAGACUAUGGGAUAGAAACAGUGGGCAAAGAUGAUAUAAAAGCAUAAUAAGGUGAUGACAGAUGAUGAUAACUUAAACCGACAUAAUGGGCGUUAAAAGUGGAUCGUACACCUUUGCGGAGUGCAAUUGGUUGACUAAGAGGAGACAAGUCCGCAGUAGGUGCAAAAUCUGAUGCAGGAGGUGAAUCACCUGUGUUUAAUGCUGGACGUGAACGACGAUGAUAAGUCAAGAGUGGUGGAGCUACAGAAAUUGAACUAGACUAGGUGGUGGAACUGGAGCUAUAGGUGGUGGAGCUGCAACUAGAGCAGUAGGUGGUGGAGCUAGAGUUGUAAAGGAAGAUGAAUGGGAGGUAGUGACUGAAUCUUCAAAGAAACUGGCAGCACCUCAGAAAUAUCUAAGUGAUUAUCUGGAUAUGUGAAGUAUGAUUGGGUUUCAAAGAAGGUAACAUCAGCAGACAUAAGAUACCGCUGGAGGUCAGGAGAAUAGCCUCGAUAUCCCUUUUGCUUUCUCGAGUAACCCAGAAAUACACACUUAAGAGCACGAGGAGCUAACUUAUCUUUUUCUGAGUAACGCUAUGAACAAAACACAUCCUUCCAAAGACACGGGGUGGAAGAGAGAACAAAGGUAAGUGGGGAAACAGGACAGAAAAUGGAACUUGAUUUUGAAUAGCUGGAGAUGGCACACGAUUAAUAAGAUAGCUAGAUGUAAGAACUGCAUUCUCCCAAAAACGCAACGGAGCAUGAGAUUGUAUGAGUAGGGUACGGGCAGUUUCAAUAAGAUGUCUAUUCUUUCUUUUAGCUACCCCAUUUUGUUAAGAUGUGUAUGGACAAGAUGUUUGAUAAAUGAUCCCAUGAGAGUUCCCAUAAGGAGUUAACUUAUCUUUUCCUGGAGUAAGGUUAUGAACAAAACAUGUGCUUCCAAAGACAUAGGGUGGAAGAGAGAACAAAGUUAAAUGGGGAAACAGGACAAAGAAUGAAACUUGAUUCUGGAUAGCUGAAGAUGACAUAUUAAUAAGAUAGCAAGAUGUAAGAACUGCAUCCCAAAAACGCAACGGAGCAUGAGAUUGUAUGAGUAGGGUAUGAGCAGUUUCAAUAAGAUGUCUAUUCUUUCUUUCAGCUACCCCAUUUUGUUGAGAUGUGUACGGACAAGAUUUUUGAUGAAUAAUCCCAUGAGAGUUCAUAAACUGCUGAAAUGGGGAAGAAAAAUACUCUAGCGCAUAUCACUACGAAAUAUGCAGACAGAAACCUCAAAUUGAUUUUAAAUUUCAGCGUAGAAGGUCUGAAAAAUAGAAAACAUCUCAGACCGAUUUUUCAUCAAAAAUAUCCAAGUGCACCUGGAAUAAUCAUCAAUGAAACUGACAAUGUAGCAAAAUCCCAAGGUAGAACUGACCCAACUAGGACCCAAACAUCUUAAUGGACUAAAGUGAAAGGUGAAUCUGCUCGAUUAUCAAGACACCGAGGGAAAUAGGAGGAAUCCCAAGGUAGAACUGACCCGACUAGGACUCCAAACAUCUGAAUGGACUAAAGUAAAAGGUGACUCCGCUCUAUUGUCAAGACGCCGAGGGAAAUGGGGGCGGGUAUGCUUACCGAGCUAACAUGACUCACACUCUAGAGUGGACAAGUGAGAUAAACCAGGUAUCAAUUUCUGAAGUUUUGACCCAACCGAUUAUGUAAUAAAUCUGGUGAAUCGGUAACAAGACAAGUUAUUGAAGGAAGACAAGAUGCGAGUCCAUGUGAUUUUGCAAGGAUAAGUUAAUAAAGUCCAUCUGAUUCAUGUCUGGUACCAAUGAUCCGCCCCGUACUGCGUUCCUGUAUAAAAACAAGGUCAUCAAGAAAUAAAACAGCGCAUUUAAGUGAUUUGGCUAAGCGACUAACGGCUAUGAGAUUAAAAGGACUAUUGGGAACAUAAAGGACUGAAUCUAAAGGUAAGGAAGGAAGAGGGCUUGCUUGAUCUAUUGCAGUUGUCAUGGCUUGAGAUCCAUUAGCCAUUGUGACCGCUGGAAGAGAUUGAGAAUAUGAAAUACUAAUGAAAAGAGAUUUGUUACCAGAAAUAUGAUCAGAUGCACCUAAAUCGAUGACCUAAGACUCAGAGUUGAAGAUUGGGAGACACAAGUCAUGUUACUACCUGUUUGAACAACUGAAGUUAUCCUUGAAUAUGUCUGUUUACAUGCUUUAUACUGAAGGAACUCAAUAUACUCUGGUAAAGAAACUAUCUGGAUUGGGUUCAAUGCAUUGGAUCCAACGGAUUGUGAGUUAAAGGCAUCUAAUACGAAUGGCAUUAUAAUAUUGUACCAGAAAAAGAAAAAAAAUUCUGGGGAUCACUGUUCACACCGGAAAUUCCAAAGUUAUCGGAAUCUGUCGGAAAUAGUACCAAUGGACUCGUAAUUUAUAUGCGACUAGGCUGUCCUCAAGAAGCUUGGACAAAAAAUGGUCAAAGAAACACGCGCGCGCCGGAAAAUAUAAAAGUGAUCGGAAUUUUGUUUAAAUUGGAUGGAUAGGCUCGAAAUUGCAGUUGCAAGGAGAUGACACUGUCUAAAUGAAACGUUUCAAAAUUUUGGCCGAAACAGCCCUCAUGCGCCGGCGCGUGGGACAGACGCGUUGCCGGCGGUAGAUUUCUGGCAGGCACAUGGGGGCGCGUGGAUGGUCUUUUUCAGGUAACUUUUUCUGGGGUUUGGUCACCUGUCUCUUAGGAACCUUUUGGUGUUGUUGGAUUUUGCACAACACUAUAAUUAGUGACUUUGACGCAAAUAUUCACUUAGGUCACCGGAAAACCGCACGGUGACUGAGUUCUUUCUUCCCGAACGUCGCUAGAACGACAUCCCGCGAUCUCUUCUCACAAAAGCUUUGAUACCAUGUGAGAAUGCACGGGAGAAAAAUAUGAUAUUAUUUACAUAUGUUAACUAUGAUAUAAUGAGCCCUAUGUAUAUAUAUAAUAAAUGUCCUACUCCUAAUACAUAUGGGAUUAAGGUUAUUUACAAUUUACAUAACUAUUCUAACAUCACAAAAUGUUAAAUGUCAGGCUCCAAGAAUAACUAAAAGUUCCCUUCAACCACAGUUUAGAGAAAAAAGUGACACUAAGAAAUAAGCAUAACAGCCGAAGAUCCGCUAAGCACAAAAACUUACUGG